GGCUGAAACCAGAUUAUGUGGGCACAUAAACGUGUACACACACAGAGACACACACACACACAGCUGAAAUGUCUUGAGUGCUGGGUCUAUCAUGCUCUGGCCCACAGGAGUGGGGGGGACAUUUAGAUCCCACCAGGUUGGUGCAACAGGGAAGGGCUGUAUCAAGGGACCCUGUCAGGUCUGAAGGUCGCCCAACAGGUCACCCGGGCGCACACGGAGGGCGCUCCGGGCCCCAUGGCAACGCAGCACAGAGACAUCAAACAGGGAGGCCGCACGUCACUGCGGUUAGGGAGGCUCCUCCCCACUGGCUGGCGGCUGGCUCCUCAGGCCGUCAGGAAGCCCGCCUCCUGUCGCCGUGGCGACCGGCUGUGUUGUGGACUGUCCCGGGCCCACCAGAUCCCUGCCCCCUCGCUGGGGCACUGCCGCUCCCCGCAUCCGGGGAGGGCGCCCAGCUCUGUCAUUCAGCCGCCGGUGUGAGGCCUACUGCCGGGCAGAGUGGCCUGCCUUUUGCAGCUCAGAGUCCCCUGGAGACAACAGCUUUGCCAGAGUCUCUGGAAGGGUGGAUGGCCAAGGGGAGUGAUCGCCAGGACGCUGUUGGGGUGGGUGACACAGGAGUGAUCGCCAGGCCUAAACCAGCACCAGCGACUGACAUGGAGCCUUGGCCAAAGGACGGAGGAGGAGGCGACACAAGAUGUCAGGAGUGGUUGCUGGCAGCCGCUAGGCGCAGGAGCGCGCAGGGUUAAAGAGAGCCCUUCUCGGGGUCUCCCCUCCUCGACACCCCCUCCCUUCCGGGAGAUUUCGGGCCCCAGCCCCUCUUACGUCAGUGCGGUUGCUAUGGCAACCGGCCGACUUUCCCAAAUAAAAUUACUGCGGCCGA